rnacentral:tRNA from 2 species
GGAGCUGUAGUUCAAUUGGUAGAAUAGUAGAUUCCAAAUCUAUUGGUCGCAAGUUCGAUUCCUGUCAGCUUCA